GGGCGCUUAGCUCAGCUGGGAGAGCACCUGCCUUACAAGCAGGGGGUCAUAGGUUCAAGUCCUAUAGCGCCCACCA
rnacentral:tRNA from 1 species